UUGACUGUUGACCUUCUGGUAGAUUUUGGGUUGGUCGCAUUGUACCCCCAGCAGCACAAGCCACUAUUAUCUUUGCCCCCUUAUCUAUCUUUGAUUCCACAGCUGAACGUUACCAUAUAUACCAAUCAUUAGUCAGUUUUGGUGUUCCUAAAGACAAGGCAAAGGUAAUAAGACUUUCUCAUACUCUGGAUGAACUCAGGGUUCUCUUCUGUGCCUGCAAAAAUGCCGAAAAAUGCAAACGCAGCGCGCCUGGCGAUAUCCCAAGCUGUCCACUCCUUUAUAAGCCUAUAGAUUUGCACAUUGACAGCAUUCGG
rnacentral:lncRNA from 1 species